rnacentral:rRNA from 1 species
GAUGAACGCUGGCGGCGUGCCUAAUACAAGCAAGUCGAGCGAACAGACGAGGAGCUUGCUCCUCUGACGUUAGCGGCGGACGGGUGAGUAACACGUGGAUAACCUACCUAUAAGACUGGGAUAACUUCGGGAAACCGGAGCUAAUACCGGAUAAUAUAUUGAACCGCAUGGUUCAAUAGUGAAAGACGGUUUUGCUGUCACUUAUAGAUGGAUCCGCGCCGCAUUAGCUAGUUGGUAAGGUAACGGCUUACCAAGGCAACGAUGCGUAGCCGACCUGAGAGGGUGAUCGGCCACACUGGAACUGAGACACGGUCCAGACUCCUACGGGAGGCAGCAGUAGGGAAUCUUCCGCAAUGGGCGAAAGCCUGACGGAGCAACGCCGCGUGAGUGAUGAAGGUCUUCGGAUCGUAAAACUCCGUUAUUAGGGAAGAACAAAUGUGUAAGUAACUAUGCACGUCUUGACGGUACCUAAUCAGAAAGCCACGGCUAACUACGUG